rnacentral:rRNA from 1 species
UACGUAGGGUGCAAGCGUUGUCCGGAAUUAUUGGGCGUAAAGAGCUCGUAGGCGGUGUGUUGCGUCGGCUGUGAAAUCCCGAGGCUCAACCUCGGGUCUGCAGUCGAUACGAGCAAACUAGAGUGUUGCAGGGGAGACUGGAAUUCCUGGUGUAGCGGUGAAAUGCGCAGAUAUCAGGAGGAACACCGGUGGCGAAGGCGGGUCUCUGGGCAACAACUGACGCUGAGGAGCGAAAGCGUGGGGAGCGAACAGG